AUACUUACCUUGUGCCGGGGCCUCGUGGAUCACCGAGGACGAGCCCCCCGAGCGAGGCGUGGGCAUUGCAUUGCGCUCGAGUUGACCCUGCCACUACCUAAAUUGGGACGGAUGGGGCAUACAAACUGUGGCCUCCGCGAUUUUGCUUCCGGCGGCGCGCCGU
rnacentral:snRNA from 1 species